UUGGUGCUUGUAUAAUGCAUUCAUUAAUUACACUAGCUCUAAAAUACUUGUAUGAUUUAGCGUUUUCUAUAUUAGGUUUUGAAUUAUUUGGAUAACUUAAACUACUUUGAAAUUAUAAUAGUGAUAAAAAUUUGGCACACAACUUAUCACAAUUUUGAUGAGAAUUACAAGCACAAAAAAAAUAUUGCACGUGAUCAUAUUCUUCCUUGCGUAUAAAUUUAAAAGAUGAUUAAAGUAGAUUAUUGUAUAUAAAGUCAGUGGCGGACCUGGGCUUGUGCCUGGUGGGUCAAGUGACUCACCAGGGCCCAAAAAAAUUCUAAGUUUUUUUUUUUUUUAAAAAAAUAAAAAAUAAAAAUAAAAAAUAAAAAAUUCUAACUUCAGCCUGUUCCCCUUUCACCUUCUCCUCGCCGCAGCUGCAACCACAUUUCGCGUUCCCCUUUCAUUCUCCCUCCUUAUUCACUAAUGGUCAUGGUGGUCGUGAGAGAUAACGACUGUGUGGUUUGAUUUCUAGGAUUUUUUUUGGUGUUCAUGGUAUGAGCUUCUUUAAACUUUCCCCUUUAAAUUUCAAAUUUAAGGUUUCUUUGCAUAAUUACUAGUUCAAAUCUUUGAUUUUUUUUCGAUUUCUAGGGUUUGGAUUUGUAACUGUUGGUGGUGGUGGAGAGCAGCGAUGGGAAGACUCAGCUUAUCAAUCAUUUUCUAAUCAACAAGAGUUGGUAUAUUGUUAAUUUGCCUGGAUAUGGGUGAGUCUCUGUAAUUUUGGUUUUAAUUUGGGCAAUUUCUGUAAUUCUUGAGUCUAUUUCAUGCUGGGAAUAUUGUAUACUUGUAUUGUGAAUCAAUUGUUAUUCGUGUUUAUUCCUGAUCAUAUGCUUGAAUCAUAUUGAAGUGCCAAAAAAGGAUUGCUUUUACGCCUUGAGGCAUUGCUUCAAAAUUAUUGAUCAUCCUGUAAAACAUGUUGUGCGGACUGAUAUGUAUUUAGGCUACAUCCGUUGUAGUUAAUUUGGUCUCCAAUCGUGUUGUUUAUUUUCAAGUUUAGGAAGUAAAUGUCUCCUUACAUGU